rnacentral:rRNA from 2 species
CCUACGGGAGGCAGCAGUGAGGAAUAUUGGACAAUGGAGGAAACUCUGAUCCAGCCAUGCCGCGUGCAGGAAGACUGCCCUAUGGGUUGUAAACUGCUUUUAUACAGGAAGAAACCGCUCUACGUGUAGAGCUCUGACGGUACUGUAAGAAUAAGGAUCGGCUAACUCCGUGCCAGCAGCCGCGGUAAUACGGAGGAUCCAAGCGUUAUCCGGAAUCAUUGGGUUUAAAGGGUCCGUAGGUGGAUAAUUAAGUCAGAGGUGAAAUCUUGCAGCUCAACUGUAAAAUUGCCUUUGAUACUGGUUAUCUUGAGUUAUUAUGAAGUAGUUAGAAUAUGUAGUGUAGCGGUGAAAUGCAUAGAUAUUACAUAGAAUACCAAUUGCGAAGGCAGAUUACUAAUAAUAUACUGACACUGAUGGACGAAAGCGUGGGUAGCGAACAGGAUUAGAUACCCUGGUAGUCCACGCCGUAAACGAUGGUUACUAGCUGUGUGGAUUUCGAUCUGCGUGGCUAAGCGAAAGUGAUAAGUAACCCACCUGGGGAGUACGUUCGCAAGAAUGAAACUCAAAGGAAUUGACGG